GCCAUGGCUCAGUAUUACAGCAUCUGCAUUGCAUGCAGAAGGUCCCAGCUUCAAUCCCUGGCAUUUCCAGGUGGGGCU